AUUGAACGCUGGCGGCAGGCCCAACACAUGCAAGUCGAACGGUAACAGAGAGUAGCUUGCUACUUUGCUGACGAGUGGCGGACGGGUGAGUAAUGUCUGGGGAUCUGCCUGAUGGAGGGGGAUAACUACUGGAAACGGUAGCUAAUACCGCAUAAUGUCGCAAGACCAAAGCGGGGGACUUUCGGGCCUCGCACCAUCAGAUGAACCCAGAUGGGAGUAGCUAGUAGGUAGGGUAAUGGCUUACCUAGGCGACGAUCCCUAGCUGGUCUGAGAGGAUGACCAGCCACACUGGAACUGAGACACGGUCCAGACUCCUACGGGAGGCAGCAGUGGGGAAUAUUGCACAAUGGGCGCAAGCCUGAUGCAGCCAUGCCGCGUGUAUGAAGAAGGCCUUCGGGUUGUAAAGUACUUUCAGUCAGGAGGAAGGGUGUGAAAUUAAUACUUUCAUGCAUUGACGUUACUGACAGAAGAAGCACCGGCUAACUCCGUGCCAGCCGCCGCUGUAA
rnacentral:rRNA from 1 species